CAAAUGGCGGCUUUGGGCUUGCCCUUAGCCACGUUUGAUCGAGUGUCGGCU
rnacentral:rRNA from 9 species